CAUAAGCAUUGUACACACAUAUUUGCGCACUGCUGGGUCGGCGCUUUUUCUCUUUUUGUUCAGUAAUAAAUUGGCACUCAACUGAUUAAGUAGAAAAGAAUCACAAAGGGAAAUUAUCCAAUUAAUUUCAAGGUACAGUCCACUGCUAGACUUAAUCAUAUUUGGUCAUUCGAGCCGAAUAAGGGAAUCGGUUUUCGUUCGAAUAAGUUGCUUUUCGUUCGAAUUUCGUUGGAUCGAUUGGGAAAUUCUGUGUGUUAUUACUCUGGAAUAGUUGUUCGCAAUGGAAGAACUAAAAGCUUUAGUGGGUCGUCGGAGCCGACUCAAGGCCAUCAUCAUAAGAAUUUUGAAUUGGACGGAAUGAACCCAUCCUACAUCAACUACUGAGGUAGCCUCUCGGAUGGAUCAACUCCAGUCCGUGUAGAGGGAAUUUAAUGAAAUUGGGGAUUCCAUAGCCCUACUGGAAGAUGUAAACGGCUAAGUGGAUCCAUAGGUUUACUGGACUCUACACUCCAGCUUUUCAAGAUAUCUAGAUAGUACGAUACACAACAAAAGGGAGUUAACCAACACUCAAAAGUUUCAUCACUUGAAAACACUGCUCGUCGAUGAUGCUGCUAACUUGGUGCGGCAUCUGGCGAUAACUGACACGGCUUACAACACUGCUUGGGAACGCCUAAAGGAGAGGUACAAUAGGCCACGCCAUAUUGUAAAGCGGUCACUUGAGACCGCUCCAUUCCCAGUCGCGUCAGCGCCGUCUUCUUGACUCUCAGCGCUAUGUUGAACAGCGAGCCGGCAUUUAAUCGUCUGCGGCGGUCGCUCUCACGAAAGAAGCUUUGGGAAGAUUCCGUUCCAAUCCACGUGGUUUAGAAAUAUUCAAGCUCUGCGAAUAUUUCUGGAGCCAACGAAAUAAAUAUUUUAGGAUGUUGACACGCAUAAUUGGAAAAUGAUCACUGCCGUGCAGGUCAUCUAUAACUGACCACUUACAGAAAGGGUAGAGCGAAGGAGAGAUAAAUGUCAGAUCAAUAUGGGAUAUAUGAAUCGACAAUUGUUAACUUUAUAUCCAGGUCUAAGCUAGCCAUCUGCUAGUGUAAAAUAUAAUAGUGUAAAAUAUUUGAGUUAACCGAAUUCUGCAUAAGCGAGUAGGGUAGGUGUCACCUAACAACGAUCCCUACACCUUGCUUUGCUGUUAAGUUGGAAGCAAGAUUGGUAAAAUAUCCAAUUUAUUGCUUUGGGCAAAUUGUGUUGUGGGCAUUGUGGGGUAGGUGCGUCUUCUGAAGACAUAUAAUGUCUGGUCGAUAUUUAUUAAUUAGAAUGCUAAAUUCAUCAUAGUUAUUAAAGUAUCCUUUCAAGUUCCACUGAACAAUCAUAAGAUUCAUAAGAUGCAAUAGUUGGAAAUAAGGCUACAGGAAUUAAGAUUAUAAACUUUUAUUGGGACAUUCACUCCUCCGAGUCCUUCUAAAAUAACAAACAAAACCAAACAUUGUGCAAAAAAAGAAAAACAUCUCUACGGGUCCAAGGAUGUUCAGUUGCUUUUAAAGAUUUACCUUACUAUUUUGUAAUAAAUUCUCAACAGGUUUUUCUCUAUAGUGAACAUGCCAUUAGGUACCUCCAUAUACAUCCCCAAAGCUGGGUGGUAGUUAUACUCUGGAUACAACAAAUCACUAGUUCAUAAAUCUUUUAUAUACUUUAUGAAACUAGUCUAUUUAGUGGAUGUAGAUUUUCGAGAACUUGACUCUCCUCCCUUUUCAAGUUAGUGGCUGUACGUAUUUCGGCGCAGCCAAAUUUUGCUCCGGUUCUCUGGUUAUGUAAUGGUAUGCGUAUAUUUAUAAUUAUUUCUACUUGCAAUAAAGUGUUUUAUAACUAA